GCCCCAGUGGCUCAGCGGUUAGAGCAUUCGGCUGUUAACCGGAGGGUCGUCGGUUCAAAUCCGACCUGGGGCG
rnacentral:tRNA from 1 species